CCUGGCCGCGUCUCCAUGGCUACGGCGGACGCGGUGCAGGCCGCUGGUACCUGCCGACUAGAAAGGCUCAGGCGGCAGCCGGGAUCCAGACUGGGGCGGGAUCAUGUCGGACCUGGGCUCGGAAGAGUUGGAGGAGGAGGGAGAGAAUGAUCUUGGGGAAUACGAAGGGGAGCGGAACGAGGCCGGUGAGCGGCAUGGACACGGGAAAGCGAGACUGCCCAAUGGGGACACGUAUGAAGGGAAAUACGAACAUGGUAAAAGACACGGCCAGGGGACCUACAAAUUUAAAAGUGGUGCGUGGUACGUUGGAGAAUAUGUUAAAAAUAAAAAACAUGGUCAAGGCACUUUUAUCUAUCCAGACGGAUCAAGAUAUGAAGGGGAGUGGGCGGACGACCUGAGGCAUGGCCACGGCGUGUACUACUACGUCAACAAUGACAGCUACACCGGGGAGUGGUUUGCUCACCAAAGGCACGGGCAAGGCACCUACUUCUACGCGGAGACGGGCAGCAAGUACGUGGGUACCUGGGUGAACGGCCAGCAGAAGGGCACGGCCGAGCUCAUCCACCUGAACCACAGGUACCAGGGCAAGUUCUUGAACAAAAAUCCCGUUGGCCCUGGAAAGUACGUGUUUGAUAUUGGCUGUGAACAGCACGGGGAAUAUCGCUUAACAGACGUGGAAAGAGGAGAAGAGGAAGAGGAGGAGGAGACACUGGUAACUGUCGUUCCAAAAUGGAAAGUGACCAAAAUCACAGAAUUGGCCUUGUGGACCCCGACCCUCCCCCAGGAGCAGCCUGCUGCAGAUGGACCAGGCCAGGGGGAGGCCCCAGGAGCUGAGGGCGGGGGAGAGCCGGCCGAGGAGGUCCAGCCUCUGACCGACGUGUCAGAGGGGGAAUUAGAUUCAAUGCAGCCCGGAGAGGAGGAGGGAGACACCAGCAGGGAGGACGGAGAGGAGUUCCGCUAUGACAGCUUAGACCAGGGAAACAUUAGUUUCGAAGAAGAGGAAGUCAGACAGCCAGAACUGCUGGAUUAAGAUGAAGCAAAAGCCAGAAUGAUUGAAGGUUUGGGGCAACCCUGUGUCAAGCAAGUCUACUGGCACCAUCUUUCCAAGAGCAUUUGCUCACUUCACGUCUCUGGGUCACAUUUUGCAUGAUAAGCUCUAGGUCCAUCCGUUGCUACAAAUGGCAUGAUUUCAUUCUUUUCUUAUGGCUGAGUGAUAGUUCCGGUGAUCAGUGAUCUCUGACGUGACUAUUGCCACUGUUUUGGGACACCAUGAGCUGCACCCAUGUAAGACGGCCAACUAAAUGGAUCAAUGUUGUGUGUGUUCUGACUGCUCCACUGACCAGCUUUCGUCCCAUCCCUCCCUCUCUUUGGGCCUCCCUGUUCCCUGAGGCACAACAAUAUUGAAAUUAGGCCAUUUAAUAACCCUACAAUGGCCUUUAAGUGUUCAAGAGAAAUAAGAGUCACAUGUCUCUCACUUUAAAUCAAAAGCUAGAAAUGAUGACGCUUAGUGAGGAAGGCAUGUUGAAAGCUGAGACAGGCCAAAAGCUAGAUCUCUUGCACCAAACAGCCAAGUGGUGGAUGCAAAGGAAAAGUUCUUGGAGGAGAUGAAAAGUGCUGCCCCAGUGAACACACGAAUGAUGAGAAAGCGAAACAGCUUUAUUGCCGGUAUGGAGAAAGUUUUACUCGUCUGGAUAGAAGAUCAAACCAGCCACAAUAUUCUCUUAAGCCAGAGCCUAAUCUAGAGCCAGGCCCUAACUCUCUUCCAUUCUGUGAAGGCUAAAAGAGGUGAGCAAGCUGCAGAAGAAAAGUCUGAAGCCAGCAGAGGUUGGUUCAUGAGGUUUAAGGAAGAAGCCGUCUCCUAACAUAGAAGUAGGAGAUAAAGCAGCAAGUGCUGAUGUGGAAGCUGCAGCAGGUUAUCCAGAAGGUCUAGCUAAGUAAUCAAUGAAGGCGGCUACAUCUGUUAUCCAGCGUAGACAGAACAGCCUGCAUUGGAAGAAGAUGCCAUCUAGGAGUUUCAUACUAGAGAGGAGAAGUCAGUGACUGGCUUCAAAGCUUCAGAGGACAGGCUGACUCUCUCGUUAGGGGCUAAUGCAGUUAGUGACUUGCAGUUGAAGCCAUUGCUCGUUUGACAUUCUGAAAAUCCUAGGACCCUUAAGAAUUAUGCUAAAUCUACUCUGUCUGUGCUCUGUAAAUGCAACGACAAAACCUGGAUGACAGCACACCUGUUUACAACAUGGGUUACCGAAGAUUUUAAGCCCACUGUUGAGACCUGCUGCUCAGAGAAAAAGAUUCCUUUCAAAAUAUUACUGCUCAUUGACAAGGCACCUGGUCACCCGAGAGCUCUGAUGGAGAUGGACAAUGAGAUGAGUGUUGUUUUCAUGACUACUAACACAACAGCCAUUCUUCAGUCCAUGGAUUAAGGAGUAAUUUCAGCUUUCAAGUCUUAUUAUUUAAGAAAUACAUUUCGGAAGGCUGUAGUUGCCAUAGAUGCUAGUUCCUCUGAUAGAUCUGGGCAAAGGAAAUCGCAAACCUUCUGGAAAGGGUUCACCAUCUUAGAUGCCAUUAAUAACAUUCGUGAUUCAUGGGAAGAGGUCAGAGCAUCAGUAUUAACAAGAGUUUGGAAGAAGUUGAUUCCAGCCCUCAUGGAUGACUUUGAGGAGUUCAAGACCUCAGUGGACGAAGUAACUGCAGAUGUGGUGGAAACAGCAAGAGAAGUAGAAUUAGAAGUGGAGCCUGAAGAUGGGACUGAAUUGCUGCAAUUUCAUGAUAGAACUUAAUCAGUCGAGGAGUUGCUUCUUAUGGAUGAGCAAAGAAAGUGGUUCCUUGAGAUGGAAUCUUACUCCUGGUGAAGAUACUGUGGAGACCGUUGAAACGACAACAAAGGAUUUAGAAUGUGACAUAAACUUGGCUGAUAAGGCAGCUGCAGGAUUUGAGAGGACUGACUCCAACUUUGAAAGAAGUUCUACUGCGGGCAAAAUGCUAUCACACAGCACUGCUGCUACAGAGAAAUCACUCGUGAAAGGAAGAGUCAACUGACGUGGCAGACGUCAUUGGCGUCUUACUUUAAAAACUGCCACAGCUGCUCCAAAUUUCAGCUGCCACCACCCCGAUCAGCCAGCAGCCAUCAACAUCCAAGCAAGACCCUCCACCAGCAACAAGAUUUUGACUCGUGGAAGGCUCAGAUGACGGUUAGCAAUAAAAUAUUUUAAAAUUAGGCCUGGAGCCUGUACUCCUUCUCCACUCCCACAUCUAUGGUGCUGGACUCACCAGACAAGUUCAGACUGAGACUUGACCUUUGACCCCACGCCCUGGGGUGUCAGAAGCCUGGUUCUGGAGGCCAGACAUUCAAAACUGAGGUCUCGGCAGGGCCGUGCUCCCUCAGAGGCCCCGGAGGAGGAUCCUUCCUGCCGUUUCAGCUUCUGGUGGCUCCCAUGUCCCUUGACUCGUGGCCACGUCACCGCGUCGAUGCCUCCUUUUACAUCUGUAUCAAACCUCCCUCUGUCUCUCUUACAAGGACAUGUGUGAUUAGGUUUAGGGCUCUCCUGGAUGAUCCAGGAUAAUCUCAAAAUCUUUAAUCACAUCGGCAGAGAUCCUUUUUCCGAAUGAGGUAACAUUCAUAGGUUCCAGGGAUUAGGACCUGCUAUCUUUGGGGCCACCAUUCAGCCCACUACAAUUACGGUUUAAAAAAAUGGUUUUUCUAACUACUGUUCCUUCUGCAUUUAUCAGGCUGUAAAAUAUGCGUUUAUUUGGUUCCCAUGAAAUACAGUCCUCCUGGGAAGCCAGGGUAAAUACUUAAUUCCUUCCUUUGAAU